CCAGAGAGGAGGGGAGGAAGGUGGGAACCCAGGGGGUCAGGGGGGUCAUGGACACUAAACCGAGAGUGAAGGUUAAUGAACCUGGUGGGCUCCAGUUCUCAGAGCAGGCACCUCCUCAGUCUAUCUACAACCACCCUCUGUACAAAGUCAUCAAAGAGGAGCCAGCAGAACCUGUGCCAGUCGGACAGUUCUCUGAUCCUCCCUCACCAGACCUGGGCAAGCGCCAGAGCAAGCCCCCCAUCAAAUUACUGGACUCAGGCUUUCUGUUCAGCUUUUGUCGGCCAGCAGGGGGUGCGAUGGCGGCACUGAAGAAAGAGGAGGAGAGCGUGGAUAUCUGCUUAACACGCUCUGUGUCACAAGUUGGGGAGAAAUUUGGAACGGAGGAGUCCCCCCACAGGGCCCUGAGAGCCAGAGGGACACCCACCCUGCCUGUAGUGAAGAGGGAGAGGGAGGAGAGGAGCGUGAGCCAAAGCAAGGUUCAGAGACUAAGGUCAAACUCCCGAAACAACACUCUUCACCUGGCCAAAUCUGCAGGUUCAAAAGCCCCAAGGACUGUGCCAAAGCAGCAAGUUAGACGCCCUCUGAGCACCAGGAGCUGUGUCAUGCAGGAUGCUGUACGACGUGCAAGGCUAAAGCAGCUUCGAGGGCCUCGUAGUCAAGCUCCCAAAGUCCCAAAGGCGGCCCAUGCCUGUCUUCAGUGCCCAGCCUCCUACAAGGACUGUGAUGCUCUAAUCAUGCAUCGCCUCAGGCACAUCGAGGGCAAGCACUGGCCAUGUCUGCUCUGCAGCAAGACGUUCUUUCGUCUGAGGAAUGUACGGAACCACAUCCGCACCCACGACCCCAAGUUGUACAAAUGCCGGAGCUGCAUUGUUGCCGGUUCCUGAGGCAGCUGGAGGGUCUGCUCUAGCAGCGAGACUGAGGAUGAAGGCUGUCAGUGUCUGACACCAGCGAACAGACUGAAGCCAGAGGCACAUGAUCGAUCAGCAGCUUGUACAUAAUGCAUCUGUCACACACAAGCACAACGGUCUGUGGAAAGGCAUAAUUACUCUAUUUCUAAUCAUUGCUGUUGUCAAUGAUUGCUAAUGUUAUUUAAAUAACCAAACCAAGGUUGCUGGUCCUGUUUGCUUUUCCGUAGCUACAGAAGGUUAAACUUGAACAUUACACUCAGGGGGCGGGGAAUGUGAUGCCACGGUAUAAAGUGAUUUAACGUCACAGUUGUGUAUAAAAUGAAAUGUAAAGUGAUUGUUAUAACUAUUACUGCUACUUAUUGUUAUCAUUAUUUUUCUAUGUAUAGAUGAAUUUUGAGUGCACUUAUAUCAUGGCUUAUGUUGUAAACCUAAGAAGUGGUAAUGAAAUUGAAGGUUUCCACGGAGGGAAUACUUGAAGUGAUGCGAGUGCUGGAGGGAAUACUUGAAGUUAGAGGGAGUCUUAGGAGUGAGACUGUCCUUUUUGGGUGUUUCAGUGGGUCUUUGUCCUUUGGUGUGCUAACUUGACUAGUUUGCCCCUCCUUUCGUAUUGAUCUGCUCGUCUCUCAUAGCCCAUGAGUCGGGAUUUGACAAUGGGCUUUUAUGGUGACACCACUGCAUGUGUAUUUGCAGGCUGUUUGUAGUCCACUGUCUUUUCUAAGGCUGCCAAUUUUAAAAAGGGAAACGUGUCUGGUUUUUAAUGUGAAUUUCUCAAUAUUAAUCAACACAACUGUGUCAUUACAGAUGUUUUAUUGAUCUCUUCUUCCACUUCAAUCCAAGACACUCGUCUUGUUCUACUUCAAAUUCCCCUCCUACUGAGUCAAUGCAAUGUGUUCACAUGAAGAGAUGUUUAUGUUUCACAAAUUGAUUUUAGAAAUAAAUGAGCUGUCUCUUGCUAUCUGUUAAAAGACUGAAUAAAUUUUUGCUUUUUAUAUCUUGUUAUUCUUGCUUUGAUUGCGGGGUUUUAUAUAUACUGUACACUGAAACUGAAAGAGACACAAUUAUCUGGAGUUGGGAGUUAUGUUUGGAGUUUGAGGAGG
rnacentral:lncRNA from 1 species